rnacentral:lncRNA from 1 species
GUGCUAGCGCUUCAUUGGCAGUAAGCAUAUUAGUCCUACCUUGCUCAGUCAUACACACCCGAAGCUGCACACACUCUAUAAAUCAAGGCAAACAGAAGCAAGAAUUGGAUUUGUGCCUGCAAUGUAUCGGGCAUGGGUAACCUGCGGGUACCCGUUACUCGCUCGGGCACGGGUAUGGGCGCCCAUUCAUACCCGCCUACGGGUAUGCAUCUUGAGACACGAGACAGGGCAGAAGAUUUUGGGCAGAUUAAAAUUUUUACAAUUUAUUAGUAGAUAUAGAUAUACAUUUAAUACUUUAUGUAUGUAUCCAAACAUUCGAUGUGAUGUAUGGUAAACUUUACUGUCCAUAACUAAACAGGCCCCUGGCUGUGCAAAAAAAAAAAAGGCUGGCACGAUCACGACGAAAAGCACAAGCUAGAAGCCGUACUGUGUGCGCCAAGAAAAAACUGCGGCGCAACAGCGGGCUAACGAGAGCUAUAACAAUAGCUUAGGCCCAGCGGAUUAGAAAGCGGCUAGGCCAUCACUUCAAACCUCAUGACCGAAUCGGAGCAGAUCAAAUAAUACCUGACUGACGAAGCCACAGUGAAGGGAAGGGAAGGCAGGCCGGCACCCGGCAGCUGCAGGCAGGCGAUGUUGAGAUUUGAGAACCCACGACUGCGGUCGUCAGUGUGUCCGGUUUGAUUUCGCACUCCCACCCGUGCAAAGCGCAAUGCUUGUCAAACCCUAUGGCACCUAGGUGCUGCUGUUAGCGCACGCAAUUACUUAGGGCUUGUUUGGCAUAGCUGAACUUCACUAGUAAAACUGUUUUUUUUAGAAAAUAGCUUCAUGAGUGACUUUCUAGAUGAAGCUGAGCUGUUUUAAAAAAAAUAUUUGGCAAAAUAGCUUCACAAACUACUUCAUGCAUAGUUGAGAGAGAGAAAUGAGAGAGAGCUACAAUAAGCUACUUUUUUCAGCUUCAUCCCAACUUAUGUCUUUGUGAGAGGAGGAGAAAAACAGCUUCACCCAUAAAACUGUUUUGGAAAUAAAUGUUUGGCAAAAAAAAAACAACUCACAACAGCUCAU